GUGCAGCAGGCGCGAAAACUUUACAAUGUGCGAAAGCACGAUAAGGGAACUCUGAGUGCCUCCUAAGGAGGCUGUUCAGGUGUCUAAAAAGCACCUGGAGUAAGGGCUGGGUAAGACCGGUGCCAGCCGCCGCGGUAACACCGGCAGCCCAGGUGGUAGCCACUUUUAUUGGGUCUAAAGCGUCCGUAGCCGGUUGAGUAAGUUCCUUGGGAAAUUUGGCUGCUCAACAGUCAAGCUUCCAGGGGAUACUGCUCGACUUGGGACUGGGAGAGGUCAGAGGUACUCCAGGGGUAGGGUGAAAUCCAUUAAUCCCUGGGGGACCACCGGUAGCGAAGGCGUCUGACCAGACCAGGUCCGACGGUGAGGGACGAAGGCUAGGGUCGCGAACCGGAUUAAAUACCCCUGUAGU
rnacentral:rRNA from 1 species